CCUACGGGUGGCAGCAGUGAGGAAUAUUGGUCAAUGGGCGUAAGCCUGAACCAGCCAAGUCGCGUGAAGGAAGACUGCCCUAUGGGUUGUAAACUUCUUUUAUAGGGGAAUAAAGGUAUGCACGUGUGGCUUUUUGCAUGUACCCUAUGAAUAAGCAUCGGCUAACUCCGUGCCAGCAGCCGCGGUAAUACGGAGGAUGCGAGCGUUAUCCGGAUUUAUUGGGUUUAAAGGGUGCGUAGGUUGGUUUUUAAGUCAGUGGUGAAAGUUUGUGGCUCAACCAUAAAAUUGCCGUUGAUACUGGAAGACUUGAGUGUGUUUGAGGUAGGCGGAAUGCGUGGUGUAGCGGUGAAAUGCAUAGAUAUCACGCAGAACUCCGAUUGCGAAGGCAGCUUACUAAGCCAUAACUGACACUGAAGCACGAAAGCGUGGGGAUCAAACAGGAUUAGAUACCCCAGUAGUC
rnacentral:rRNA from 1 species